GGUGUAUCUCAGUGAUAGAGUGCAUGCUCUGUAAGUAUGAUGUCCUAGGUUCAAUCCCCUGGUCACCG